CCCCAGACCAAGAUCGUGCUGCUUUUCCCGCUGGACAAGCGGCAGCAGCUGGCCGAGGCAGCGGCGGGCCCAUUUGUGCGGCCCGUGCGGCCCGCUGAGGACCCGCUCGGCGCCCCGACGUGCUUCCCAGCCACGGUGGCGCCUAUGCUACGUGGGGCAGGCGACGGCGUGGACAGGCGCGAAGGUGCGCGCGCGAGAGAGAUGAAAAGGAUCCUGGUGCUGCUGCUGCAGCUGGACGCGAGGCUGCAGGAGGAGGGGCGUCGAGUGGCAGGCAGGCCGGGGGGCGGGGCCAAGGCCCAGCAGUACUGGCAGCCGCUGUAUGCGCACCUGCUGACCCAACGCGAGGCCUGCGGCGAAGGCGACCCCCGCGAGGAGCAGCCGCGCAAGCGGCGCCGCUGUCCUCGCCCGCGGCCCUGAGUGUCUGGCACGACCCCUAACGCCAGGACUCUGCUCAAUAAAGAGCACAUAGC
rnacentral:lncRNA from 1 species